CAGCUAGUUGGUAAGGUAAGGGCUUACCAAGGCUAUGACGCAUAACUGGUCUGAGAGGAUGAUCAGUCACACUGGAACUGAGACACGGUCCAGACUCCUACGGGAGGCAGCAGUAGGGAAUAUUGCUCAAUGGGCGAAAGCCUGAAGCAGCAACGCCGCGUGGAGGAUGACACUUUUCGGAGCGUAAACUCCUUUUCUUAGGGAAGAACAAUGACGGUACCUAAGGAAUAAGCACCGGCUAACUCCGUGCCAGCAGCCGCGGUAAUACGGAGGGUGCAAGCGUUACUCGGAAUCACUGGGCGUAAAGGACGCGUAGGCGGAUUAUCAAGUCUUUUGUGAAAUCUAAUGGCUUAACCAUUAAACUGCUUGAGAAACUGAUAAUCUAGAGUGAGGGAGAGGCAGAUGGAAUUGGUGGUGUAGGGGUAAAAUCCGUAGAGAUCACCAAGAAUACCCAUUGCGAAGGCGAUCUGCUAGAACUCAACUGACGCUAAUGCGUGAAAGCGUGGGGAGCAAACAGGAUUAGAUACCCUGGUAGUCCACGCCCUAAACGAUGUAUACUAGUUGUUGCUCUGCUAGUCAGGGCAGUAAUGCACCUAACGGAUUAAGUAUACCGCCUGGGGAGUACGGUCGCAAGAUUAAAACUCAAAGGAAUAGACGGGGACCCGCACAAGCGGUGGAGCAUGUGGUUUAAUUCGAAGAUACGCGAAGAACCUUACCUGGGCUUGAUAUCCUAAGAACCUCUUAGAGAUAAGAGGGUGCUAGCUUGCUAGAACUUAGUGACAGGUGCUGCACGGCUGUCGUCAGCUCGUGUCGUGAGAUGUUCGGUUAAGUCCGGCAACGAGCGCAACCCACGUAUUUAGUUGCUAACAGUUUGGCUGAGCACUCUAAAUAUACUGCCUUCGUAAGGAGGAGGAAGGUGUGGACGACGUCAAGUCAUCAUGGCCCUUAUGCCCAGGGCGACACACGUGCUACAAUGGCAUAUACAAUGAGACGCAAUAUCGCGAGAUGGAGCAAAUCUAUAAAAUAUGUCCCAGUUCGGAUUGGAGUCUGCAACUCGACUCCAUGAAGCCGGAAUCGCUAGUAAUCGUAGAUCAGCCAUGCUACGGUGAAUACGUUCCCGGGUCUUGUACUCACCGCCCGUCACACCAUGGGAGUUGAUUUCACUCGAAGCCGGAAUACUAAACUAGUUACCGUCCACAGUGGAAUCAGCGACUGGGGUGAAGUCGUAACAAGGUAACCGUAGGAGAACCUGCGGUUGGAUCACCUCCUUUCUA
rnacentral:rRNA from 1 species